AGGUCAUCGGGCUCAAAGUGGAGGGUCCGAAGAUCAGAAUCGGAGCUCUGGUCGACGGCGGAGGUGGAAUCUGCUUUGGUAGGGAGCAGCGGAGUAGCUCUGGUCAGGAAGGACUUGGUGUUCGAGCCUUUAUCAGAGGACUCCCAGAGGCUCUGGUGCCAGAAGCUUCUCAAAUUCAUUGAUUCUCUCGGGCCAUUGCAACUAAAAAAGCAUUAUUGAGGGGGGUUGAAGCUUCUAGCAUUAGGCCUGUUUCUUCAGGGUGGAUUUUUCCAUGGCAUCAAGGAACUAACUUUCGGGGUCGAUAUUGCAAAGAUGAGAUGGAUGGGCGUUCUACAGAGAAUUGUAAUAGGUUAUUUAGUAGCUGCCUUGUGCGAGAUUUGGCUAAAGGGUGAUGGUACUGUUAGUUCAGGAUCAUCUCUGCUCAGGAAGUAUAAACUUCAGUUGGUUAUGGCAUUGAUGAUAACUGUGACAUAUCUAUUAUUGAUGGCCAUUGUUAAUUACCUGCUUGGUUGGUUUGCAUUACGGUCACAUCAUUAACCAUUUUAAGGUCAUAAGA